GGGGUUGUGGCUCAGUGGCAGAGCGCUUUCUUCGCACAUAUGAGACACUGGGUUCAAUCCUCAGCACCACA
rnacentral:tRNA from 1 species